rnacentral:rRNA from 1 species
GUUAAGUUGCAGGGUAUAGACCCGAAACCCGGUGAUCUAGCCAUGGGCAGGUUGAAGGUUGGGUAACACUAACUGGAGGACCGAACCGACUAAUGUUGAAAAAUUAGCGGAUGACCUGUGGCUGGGGGUGAAAGGCCAAUCAAACCGGGAGAUAGCUGGUUCUCCCCGAAAGCUAUUUAGGUAGCGCCUCGUGAAUUCAUCUCCGGGGGUAGAGCACUGUUUCGGCUAGGGGGCCAUCCCGGCUUACCAACCCGAUGCAAACUGCGAAUACCGGAGAAUGUUAUCACGGGAGACACACGGCGGGUGCUAACGUCCGUCGUGAAGAGGGAAACAACCCAGACCGCCAGCUAAGGUCCCAAAGUCAUGGUUAAGUGGGAAACGAUGUGGGAAGGCCCAGACAGCCAGGAUGUUGGCUUAGAAGCAGCCAUCAUUUAAAGAAAGCGUAAUAGCUCACUGGUCGAGUCGGCCUGCGCGGAAGAUGUAACGGGGCUAAACCAUGCACCGAAGCUGCGGCAGCGACACUGUGUGUUGUUGGGUAGGGGAGCGUUCUGUAAGCCUGUGAAGGUGUGUCGUGAGGCAUGCUGGAGGUAUCAGAAGUGCGAAUGCUGACAUAAGUAACGAUAAAGCGGGUGAAAAGCCCGCUCGCCGGAAGACCAAGGGUUCCUGUCCAACGUUAAUCGGGGCAGGGUGAGUCGACCCCUAAGGCGAGGCCGAAAGGCGUAGUCGAUGGGAAACGGGUUAAUAUUCCCGUACUUGGUGUUACUGCGAAGGGGGGACGGAGAAGGCUAUGUUGGCCGGGCGACGGUUGUCCCGGUUUAAGCGUGUAGGUGUGUGUUCCAGGUAAAUCCGGUUCACUUUAACACUGAGGCGUGACGACGAGGCACUACGGUGCUGAAGCAACAAAUGCCCUGCUUCCAGGAAAAGCCUCUAAGCAUCAGGUAACAUCAAAUCGUACCCCAAACCGACACAGGUGGUCAGGUAGAGAAUACCAAGGCGCUUGAGAGAACUCGGGUGAAGGAACUAGGCAAAAUGGUGCCGUAACUUCGGGAGAAGGCACGCUGACACGUAGGUGAAGUGAUUUACUCAUGGAGCUGAAGUCAGUCGAAGAUACCAGCUGGCUGCAACUGUUUAUUAAAAACACAGCACUGUGCAAACACGAAAGUGGACGUAUACGGUGUGACGCCUGCCCGGUGCCGGAAGGUUAAUUGAUGGGGUCAGCGCAAGCGAAGCUCCUGAUCGAAGCCCCGGUAAACGGCGGCCGUAACUAUAACGGUCCUAAGGUAGCGAAAUUCCUUGUCGGGUAAGUUCCGACCUGCACGAAUGGCGUAAUGAUGGCCAGGCUGUCUCCACCCGAGACUCAGUGAAAUUGAACUCGCUGUGAAGAUGCAGUGUACCCGCGGCAAGACGGAAAGACCCCGUGAACCUUUACUAUAGCUUGACACUGAACAUUGAGCCUUGAUGUGUAGGAUAGGUGGGAGGCUUUGAAGUGUGGACGCCAGUCUGCAUGGAGCCGACCUUGAAAUACCACCCUUUAAUGUUUGAUGUUCUAACGUGGACCCGUUACCCGGGUUGCGGACAGUGUCUGGUGGGUAGUUUGACUGGGGCGGUCUCCUCCUAAAGAGUAACGGAGGAGCACGAAGGUUGGCUAAUCCUGGUCGGACAUCAGGAGGUUAGUGCAAUGGCAUAAGCCAGCUUGACUGCGAGCGUGACGGCGCGAGCAGGUGCGAAAGCAGGUCAUAGUGAUCCGGUGGUUCUGAAUGGAAGGGCCAUCGCUCAACGGAUAAAAGGUACUCCGGGGAUAACAGGCUGAUACCGCCCAAGAGUUCAUAUCGACGGCGGUGUUUGGCACCUCGAUGUCGGCUCAUCACAUCCUGGGGCUGAAGUAGGUCCCAAGGGUAUGGCUGUUCGCCAUUUAAAGUGGUACGCGAGCUGGGUUUAGAACGUCGUGAGACA